UACAGAGGGUGCAAGCGUUGUUCGGAUUUACUGGGCGUAAAGGGCGCGUAGGCGGCGCAACAAGUCACUUGUGAAAUCUCCGGGCUUAACCCGGAGCGGCCAAGUGAUACUGUCGUGCUAGAGUGCGGAAGGGGCUACUGGAAUUCUCGGUGUAGCGGUGAAAUGCGUAGAUAUCGAGAGGAACACCUGCGGCGAAGGCGGCAUCCUGGACCGGCAUUGACGCUGAGGAGCGAAAGCAUGGGGAGCGAACAGG
rnacentral:rRNA from 1 species